rnacentral:rRNA from 1 species
AUUGAACGCUGGCGGCAUGCCUUACACAUGCAAGUCGAACGGCAGCACGGGUGCUUGCACCUGGUGGCGAGUGGCGAACGGGUGAGUAAUACAUCGGAACAUGUCCUGUAGUGGGGGAUAGCCCGGCGAAAGCCGGAUUAAUACCGCAUACGAUCUACGGAUGAAAGCGGGGGACCUUCGGGCCUCGCGCUGUAGGGUUGGCCGAUGGCUGAUUAGCUAGUUGGGGGGGUAAAGGCCUACCAAGGCGACGAUCAGUAGCUGGGCUGAGAGGACGACCAGCCACACGGGGAGUGAGACACGGACCAGACUCCUACGGGAGGCAGCAGUGGGGAAUUGUGGACAAUGGGCGAAAGCCUGAUCCAGCAAUGCCGCGUGUGUGAAGAAGGCCUUCGGGUUGUAAAGCACUUUUGCCCGGAAAGAAAUCCUUGGCCCUAAUACGGUCGGGGGAUGACGGUAACGGAAGAAUAAGCACCGGCUAACUACGUG